UACGGAGGGGGCUAGCGUUGUUCGGAAUUACUGGGCGUAAAGAGCGCGCAGGCGGUCGUUCAAGUCGCGUGUGAAAGCCCCCGGCUCAACUGGGGAGGGUCACGCGAUACUGAUCGACUCGAAGGCAGGAGAGGGUAGUGGAAUUCCCGGUGUAGUGGUGAAAUGCGUAGAUAUCGGGAGGAACACCAGUGGCGAAGGCGACUACCUGGCCUGUUUCUUGACGCUGAGGCGCGAAAGCUAGGGGAGCAAACGGG
rnacentral:rRNA from 1 species